rnacentral:rRNA from 1 species
GCAGAGGGUUCUUCUAGCGCCAAUGUGGUGCAAAAGAACUUCCACAAGUUCAAGGGAAAGAACUCUGUCCAGCAAAAUAUUACCUUUAAGAAGAAGGGUAAGAAGAAAGACAAAAAGAGUGAUGGCUGCUUUACUUGUGGUUCAGAUGAACAUUGGGCAAACAAGUGCCCAAACAAGUACAAGAAGCCAGCACAGGACUCCAAGUCUGUGAAUGUCACUCUAAGCAACAAUGAUGCGGCAUCUGGGUAUGGUAAUCUGUUUACCAUACUUUCAGUUUGUCAGUCCACCGAUUGGUGGAUUGACACUGGGGCCAAUAUUCAUGUGUGUGCUGAUGUGUCUUUGUUUUCUUCCUACAAGGUCGCACGAGAUUGUUCCGUCCUGAUGGGGAAUGGCUUGCAUGCUUCUGUUCAU